rnacentral:rRNA from 1 species
CAGGCUUAACACAUGCAAGUCGAGGGGCAGCAUUUUAGUUUGCUUGCAAACUAAAGAUGGCGACCGGCGCACGGGUGAGUAACACGUAUCCAACCUGCCGAUAACUCGGGGAUAGCCUUUCGAAAGAAAGAUUAAUAUCCGAUAGUAUAUUAAAACCGCAUGGUUUUACUAUUAAAGAAUUUCGGUUAUCGAUGGGGAUGCGUUCCAUUAGUUUGUUGGCGGGGUAACGGCCCACCAAGACAACGAUGGAUAGGGGUUCUGAGAGGAAGGUCCCCCACAUUGGAACUGAGACACGGUCCAAACUCCUACGGGAGGCAGCAGUGAGGAAUAUUGGUCAAUGGACGAGAGUCUGAACCAGCCAAGUAGCGUGAAGGAUGACUGCCCUAUGGGUUGUAAACUUCUUUUAUAUGGGAAUAAAGUAUUCCACGUGUGGGAUUUUGUAUGUACCAUAUGAAUAAGGAUCGGCUAACUCCGUGCCAGCAGCCGCGGUAAUACGGAGGAUCCGAGCGUUAUCCGGAUUUAUUGGGUUUAAAGGGAGCGUAGGUGGAUUGUUAAGUCAGUUGUGAAAGUUUGCGGCUCAACCGUAAAAUUGCAGUUGAAACUGGCAGUCUUGAGUACAGUAGAGGUGGGCGGAAUUCGUGGUGUAGCGGUGAAAUGCUUAGAUAUCACGAAGAACUCCGAUUGCGAAGGCAGCUCACUAGACUGCAACUGACACUGAUGCUCGAAAGUGUGGGUAUCAAACAGGAUUAGAUACCCUGGUAGUCCACACAGUAAACGAUGAAUACUCGCUGUUUGCGAUAUACAGUAAGCGGCCAAGCGAAAGCAUUAAGUAUUCCACCUGGGGAGUACGCCGGCAACGGUGAAACUCAAAGGAAUUGACGGGGGCCCGCACAAGCGGAGGAACAUGUGGUUUAAUUCGAUGAUACGCGAGGAACCUUACCCGGGCUUAAAUUGCAUUUGAAUAAUCUGGAAACAGGUUAGCCGCAAGGCAAAUGUGAAGGUGCUGCAUGGUUGUCGUCAGCUCGUGCCGUGAGGUGUCGGCUUAAGUGCCAUAACGAGCGCAACCCUUAUCUUUAGUUACUAACAGGUCAUGCUGAGGACUCUAGAGAGACUGCCGUCGUAAGAUGUGAGGAAGGUGGGGAUGACGUCAAAUCAGCACGGCCCUUACGUCCGGGGCUACACACGUGUUACAAUGGGGGGUACAGAAGGCAGCUACCUGGCGACAGGAUGCUAAUCCCAAAAACCUCUCUCAGUUCGGAUCGAAGUCUGCAACCCGACUUCGUGAAGCUGGAUUCGCUAGUAAUCGCGCAUCAGCCAUGGCGCGGUGAAUACGUUCCCGGGCCUUGUACACACCGCCCGUCAAGCCAUGAAAGCCGGGGGUACCUGAAGUACGUAACCGCAAGGAGCGUCCUAGGGUAAAACUGGUAAUUGGGGCUAAG